GAACUCAGCUCAGGUCUAAUAGAUCUAUGCCUUUAGUAGAAUCUUUAACUCUGUUGUAAGCAACUUUGUUUAUUGGUUAAUAGGCAUGGAUUAUGCAGAUCCAAAGAAGAAAAACAACUUUGUGGUUCUCUCAUCAUGAACCAGGUGUCACUCAUGUGUUAGUCACUGGAGGUGCUGGAUAUAUUGGAUCGCAUGCAGCAUUACGUCUUCUAAAAGAUUCUUACCGAGUGACCAUAGUGGACAACCUUUCACGAGGA
rnacentral:misc_RNA from 1 species